AUUGAACGCUGGCGGUAUGCUUAACACAUGCAAGUCGAACGGCAGCAUGGUCUAGCUUGCUAGACUGAUGGCGAGUGGCGGACGGGUGAGUAACGCGUAGGAAUAUGCCUUGAAGAGUGGGACAACUUGGGGAAACUCAAGCUAAUACCGCAUGUAGUCGAGAGAGUAAAGCUGGGGACCUUUAGUACUGGCGCUUUAAGAUGAGCCUGCGUCCGAUUAGCUAGUAGGUAGGGUAAAGGCCUACCAAGGCGACGAUCGGUAGCUGGUCUGAGAGGAUGAUCAGGCACACUGGAACUGAGAGACGGUCCAGACUCCUACGGGAGGCAGCAGUGGGGAAUAUUGGACAAUGGGGGGAACCCUGAUCCAGCAAUGACGCGUGUGUGAAGAAGGCCUGAGGGUUGUAAAGCACUUUCAGUGGGGAGGAGGUUUGGAAGGUUAAGAGCUAUUCAAAUGGACGUUACCCACAGAAGAAGCACCGGCUAACUCCGUGCCAGCAGCCGCCGUAA
rnacentral:rRNA from 1 species